GAUGAAGAACGCAGCGAAAUGCGAUAAGUAGUGUGAAUUGCAGAAUUCAGUGAAUCAUCGAAUCUUUGAACGCACAUUGCGCCCUUUGGUAUUCCUUAGGGCAUGCCUGUUCGAGCGUCAUUUAAACCUUCAAGCUCAGCUUGGUGUUGGGUGACUGUCCGCCGCCUCCGGGCGCGUGGACUCGCCUCAAAAUUAUUGGCGGCCGGUACAUUGGCUUCGAGCGCAGCAGAAACGCGAACUCGGGCCCGUCGUAUUGGCUCCCAGAAGCUAUCUUCACAAUUUUGACCUCGGAUCAGGUAGGGAUACCCGCUGAACUUAAGCAUAUCAAUAGCGGAGGA
rnacentral:misc_RNA from 1 species